rnacentral:rRNA from 1 species
UUUCGGUUGGGGGGCCUUGGGGAAGGACCAUUA